rnacentral:lncRNA from 1 species
CUAAACAGAGCCAGGAGGAUUCAGGCAUAACAGGGGCUCCAAUACGGACGCCUUCGUCGACAGACCACUGAAAGCAACCGAGGAGCGGAAAGAAACAUGCUCAUAGAAACUGGAGGGAAUCAAGUUAAAAAGCAGUGGUCGUUCUAGCGCUAGCUUUCUUCAGAAUGUCCAAGCUUCCACCUCACCUUCCUCCAUUCCAUCCCUGGAAGCCCCAGCCCACCUUGGAUGCUGUAGUAUCAGCAAUGUGGCGCAGUCUCUGCCCUGGUCAAAGGAUGCUACCAAACCAUGAUCUGGGACCAAUCUUCACCAAGCUGUCACAGGACCUGGAGUCUGCAACCAUGCCCCUCUACACCAACUACUUUGACCCAGUCACUGACCACCUGCCCAACAGUUUCCCAUUGGGACACAAGCUGAACUUCAACCUGAGGCUGAACUGCUUUGACUCAUGGGCAGACCCAGAGAGAGAGAGGGAAAGAGGGAGGGAGAGAAGCCACCAUGUCCCCUCUUACGGAGGACCCCGCAUCAGUGGUGCCUGCCUGUCUAGACUGACUAGGAACGGAGCGCCAAGCGAGAGUAGAGGAUCUAUGACCAACAGUCAGUUUAUCUAUCAAAUGUAUGGCUAUCACUGCAGGUGA